rnacentral:sRNA from 1 species
AGCGGCGGUAAGGCACGCGUGCGAGAGAUCCGGAGCCGGCUGCCGACGGAUUUUUGGUUGCAUGUCUUGCCGUGGAUCAUUCGCGAUUGUAUGAGCGA